AGUUGAAACCCUACGCGUGUGAUGUUGUUGCUCUUAGAUGGCCUAUGCGACAAUCUCCGAUCCUAUUGCGUUCUCCGACGAUCUUCUUCGGUGACAUCUCCUCCGUGAUCUCCUUCGGCGACAUCUCCUAAAGCGGCGAUAUCCUCCGGUGACGUCUCCUCCAGCUUCCUCUCCUUGUCAUCCUCUGUGUCUUCUUUGCCAAAAUCGUCAGCGCCUAAUUCCUCUGCGACGAUCCAGGCCUUUGCGAGGAUUCAUCGCGAGUGGAGAAGUCAGUUCCGCAGUUUGCACUGUUGACGACGUUCCUCCGCAAUUUGUGUUCUGCCGCUCUCGCUGCACUGCCGCCGCCGCCGCUGCCGCCGCCGUUUCUCCAUUCCUCUGCUUCGUGCCUUUGUCGCCGUCCCUCACUCUUCCAAAGAUAUGAAGGUGGCCACCAUGCUUGUGGAUCCUGCUGGAUUGUCAAGCUUACUACCUCUGCCUUGAAAAUUAUGGUGCUUCAAAGGGGCUAAUUUGAAAAGCUCUUACUGAACCUGGGGUUAAGCAUGCGUUGAUUGCAAUACAAGUGCUUCAGCAGGUUGCUUAAGAGAUUGAACUUUCCAGAAAUGAAGUUCAGCUUAUACUUAUGGGCUAUGAGGUAUGUGAAAUGCUAUUUUUCUGCACCUCUUUACUAUAAAAAGUUUGAUUGCAUACUUGCAAGACAUGAAAAUUGAAAUAGCACACUGGAUUUGCAAAUAUGCAUUUAGUUCUUAUAUUCAUGGAUAUGUUCCUGAUCUUAUUUUAUAUCUUGUUUAGCAUACAGUAGAAGCUCCUGGUAAUCUAGAGAUUUUGCUUUAAUUGAGAAGGAAAAGGUGUCGAUGAAGGAUAAGAUUUCAAUGUAGUACUUCAAGUUUACCAUUAUUUUACUUUAACUGACUAAAGUUUUUCUUUAUUAGUCCAACUUCCUUGCUGCUCUGCUGGUGAAGGAUCUUGUGUUUCAAAUGGAGCAUGUGAAGAUUGCAUAACAGUAACUGCACAAAUAACCUGGAAGCCCAACUAGUUUAAUUAAUAAAAUUCUUCCCAUGCUUAUUUUAACAUGUUCUUUUCAUUUCUUUUGGUUUUCCAUGGCAGGGAUAUCCUUAAAUGGUGCAACGGAAUUGUAGGUUUAGGUUUUUCUUUAAGAAUUCUAUUGUGUUGUCUGCUCUCAACUUUGUCAUAGUUAAUGUUCUUAACAGAAUCAGAACUUAGUUAGUUGAUUGAUAGGCAAACUUCCAAGUAAUUGCUUUUCCAUUUGUUUGUAGAGAUUCUUAGCACAAUGAGAGCAGUCUAAGGUGCACUAAUAGUAGCAUCAUGCAUACAAAUAAUUUUGGGAUUUAGUCAAAUAUGGGCCAUUUGUUCCAGGUUUUUCAGUCGACUUGGAUACAAAUACUAUUCUGAAUCUGAAUCAUUUGUGUUAGGUUGGGAGUUGGGUCGAAAUUGGAAUUCCCAUGCUAAUACUGUUUAUAGCCUUAUCUCAGGAAUUGGCUCAGGAGAGUGAGAUUCCAUAACCAGAAGAGUUAGGAAGUAGGUCUUUUGGAGCAAGCAACAAGGAAGCAUGACCUUGCUUGAUAUGUUAAGAUGUAUAUUAAGGAUUAUAUGUUAAGACGUAUUAUUGAAAAAUGUUACUUUGAUACUUUAUUUUUGGAUUAUGACAUUUCAAUUAUGACUUGGAUUAUGACUUUUGAAUCAUGUAAGAAUUAAUAAAAAUCAUCUUAUGAUGUUUGAUUUA